UACGUAGGGCGCAAGCGUUGUCCGGAAUUAUUGGGCGUAAAGAGCUCGUAGGUGGCUUGUCACGUCGGGUGUGAAAGCCCGCUGCUUAACGGCGGGUUGGCUUCCGGUACGGGCAUCGCUGGAGUGCGGCAGGGGAGACUGGAAUUCCUGGUGUAGCGGUGGAAUGCGCAGAUAUCAGGAGGAACACCGGUGGCGAAGGCGGGUCUCUGGGCCGUUACUGACGCUGAGGAGCGAAAGCGUGGGGAGCGAACAGG
rnacentral:rRNA from 1 species